rnacentral:rRNA from 1 species
GACGAACGCUGGCGGCGUGCUUAACACAUGCAAGUCGAACGGAAAGGCCCUGCUUUUGUGGGGUGCUCGAGUGGCGAACGGGGGAGUAACACGUGAGUAACCUGCCCUUGACUUUGGGAUAUAUUCAGGAAACUGGGGCUAAUACCGGAUAGGAGCUCCUGCUGCAUGGUGGUGGUUGGAAAGUUGCGGCGGUUGGGGAUGGACUCGCGGCUUAUCAGCUUGUUGGUGGGGUAGUGGCUUACCAAGGCUUUGACGGGUAGCCGGCCUGGGAGGGUGACCGGCCACAUUGGCCCAGGGGUGCGGCCCAGACGCCAACGGGCGGCAGGGGUGGGGAAUAUUGCACACAGGGCGGAGGCCGGAUGGAGCAACGCCGCGUGCGGGAUGACGGCCUUCGGGUAGUAACCAGCUUUCGCCUGAGACGACGCGUGAGUGACGGAAAUGGGUAAAGAAGCACGGCCUACCUACGG